rnacentral:lncRNA from 1 species
GCCGGUACUGCGGCUGCUCGCUCGCUUAGCAUAUGCCUUGCCAGGGGAGAAGCGUCCAAGCUUUCCUUGGGGGUGGGGGGACGCUGGAUGAUGUGCGCCUUUCAGUUUAUUUGGGGCGCCAAAAUGAUGAAGCUGCUGUGGCUUACGCAUCAGAGUGAGGUCCUUGUAAAGCUGUCCUGACUGCAGCAGCAGGCUUCGCGUCGCUUUCCCGCGAUGAAAACGCUUUUGGGCACAAGAGGAGUCUUGCUCCAUCCCCAACAUCUCCCACAGCUUCCGUAUUUCAGAGGUUAAUAUCUGCAGGGAGAAGGGCAUGGAGCUAAAGCGGACAACCUUUCUACCAUAGGGCACCCCUUUCCCUUCAAAAUGGUUUCCCCAUCCCAGCUGCCUUGGCUAAAAGGCGCUCGGCGGAUGCUGCUGGAACAAGGCACCGUUUCCGAAGGGAAAUGGAAUCCUGGAAUCUGGAAUGAAGUGCCAGCAUAGAGCUUGCUAGGGAAGCUCCGUUCCCCCUGUUUGUAAAGCCUGUAAAACGAAAGGACGGAGAGGGUGUUAUCUCUUUGGGUCAGAAAAAAAAAACCCCAGGCUGCAUCGUUUUCCUAGGCAAAAUUAUCUUCAAACAGCUUGUGGCAGUUAUUUCAGACCACCUCUUAAUCUGUUGUCCUGAUAAUUGCUAUCAAGCGCAAGAGAGUUGGAGAUAUUCGUCAUUCUACCCUCUCAGCUGUCAUUUUGUCCAUUGACCCAAUUAAGAAAAUGAAGAGCACAGUAAUCACGUCCGCUCUGCAACCUGGAAUGGGAAUUGGCAGUUCUUGCACCAGCUACUGAAUGUGUGACCAGAUAAAGGCAGCAGGCUAUUGACCAUGGAUAAGAAAUGGAGUAUUUUUACUUUUCCUCCUCCUCUUUCUUCUUUUUAAUUUAAAGAGACAGAGGAAUUCUGGAUUUACUGUUUUUUAAGGUUGCAUGGAGAUCUUAACAUUUGGAUGGGGCUGAAAAUCUCCCUGAGAAAUUACAGUUUAUCAUUUCAGAAUGUUUGGGAUAUAUUAUUGCAAACCUUGCCUUAUAAAUGCCUUCUGCAAUAAAGUCACAAAUACCCAGAGUUAAUCUUGUGAA